ensembl:lncRNA
GUCAACAGCCUUGUCCUCGUCAACAGCCUUGUCCUCGUCAACAGCCUUGUCCUCGUCAACAGCCUUGUCCUCGUCAACAGCCUUGUCCUCGUCAACACUCACACCUGUGUUAACGAGAGAAUCGCUGACAUGUCAGCUGGUCCUUUUGUGGCAGGGCUGAAAUGCAGUAGAAGUGUUUUUGGGGGAUUCAGUUAAUUUGUAUGGCAAAGAGGGACUUUGCAAUUAAUUGCAAUUCAUCUGAUCACUCUUCAUAACAUUCUGGAGUAUAUGAAAAUGACCAUCAUACAAACUGAAGCAGCAGACUUUGUGAAAAUCAAUAUUUGUGUCCUUCUCAACUUUUGGCCACGACUGUACAAAAUAAGUUACAAAUAACGCACAAAAACCCACAAUAGCACAAUUUGUUGGGCGCCCGUGAAACUCCUGCCAUUUCUUCUGCCACCAUUUUAGAUGUUGGGAUAGGGUAUGAUGUACCUAUUGGCUUAGGGUAGGAGUUUUCUUAGUACUAAUACACUAUUGGGUAGGGGGUGUCUUAGUACUAGUAUAGUGUCUCAUGUCUAGGGCCCUAACCCUUGGCAGAUGCUUAAUUUGUAGAACCUAACCUGGUUCCUGUACAAAUGUUUUACGUCCAGGGUAUCAAAGCCAGUAACAGCAGCCUCGUCCACCACAGAAGACUUUAGCUGCAAACUGAAGGAGGCCGUCGGCAGCAGAGUGAGAGUCUGCGCCUUCUCCAGCCCUGAAUACCUUCCCUGGAGGAUUGGACACAGGACAGGAGAAAGCAGAGGAGGAGGAAGGUUGAAAAGGAAGAGUGUGAGGGACGGGCAGCGGCAUACUCCAGUGACUGACAGCCAGAGAGAGGAAGUGUCUCCUGUAAGUGAUGAUGUCACAGCAGACUGUGUUUCUCUCAGCCUAUCAGAGGAGCUGAAGAGAAAGAAUGUGAGAGUCCUGAUCCCUCGACCCCCUUCAGUUUACCUCCCUCUGCCGUGGGCGGUGCUAUACGUCUCGGUGGGCGUGGUUUAAAGUGCAACGACUGUCCGAUGCGCAUCCACGUUCAACUGAUAACCCUCUGCCUGGGACAUCAUUCAUAACUUCUUCAGUCAUCACUAUGCCCCAUCCUCUCCCAGAGAACACAUCAUCGGCAAGAAGCCAGACACACUUUCACUUCUAUGAACAAACACAGGGAUGGAAUGACGGGAAAAGGAAAUCUUCAUUUGAGAGAUGGCCCCCGAAUUCUGUUAAUUCCAGUUCUCCUCUCGAACACUGUGAUUGUUCGACAGUGUCAAUGUGUCUUACCCUCCCGCAGUGUGAUAUGAAUCCGGGUAGCUCUUUCAGCUAGCUGUCACCAGGAGUCCUUGGUAUGGUUCCCCCAACAGGCCUCAGGGACUGGAUUGAGUGACUUCACCUGUAAUUCACCUGUAGUGCAUAAAAUCUUGGACAUAUAGGUUUGGUUAACAAAUACUAAGGAGAUGAUUGUGGACUUCAGGAAACAGCAGAGGGAACACCCCCCCAUCCACAUCGAUGGAACAGUAGUGGAGAGGGUAGCAAGUUUUAAGUUCCUCGGCAUACACAUCACAGACAAACUGAAUUGGUCCACUCACACAGACAGCAUCGUGAGGAAGGCGCAGCAGCGCCUCUUCAACCUCAGGAGGCUGAAGAAAUUCGGCUUGUCACCAAAAGCACUCACAAACUUCUACAGAUGCACAAUCGAGAGCAUCCUGGCGGGCUGUAUCACCGACUGGUAUGGCAACUGCACCGCCCUCAACCGUAAGGCUCUCCAGAGGGUAGUGAGGUCUGCACAACGCAUCACCGGGGCAAACUACCUGCCCUCCAGGACACCUACACCACCCGAUGCUACAGGAAGGCCAUAAAGAUCAUCAAGGACAUCAACCACCUGAGCCACUGCCUGUUCA